GACGAACGCUGGCGGCGUGCCUAAUACAUGCAAGUCGAACGCAGUGGGGACGGGUGAGUAACACGUGGGUAACCUCCCAUCAGAGGGGAUAACACUUGGAAACAGGUGCUAAACCGAUACUGAUGGAUGGACCCGCGGUGCAUUAGCUAGUUGGUGAGGUAACGGCUCACCAAGGCCACGAUGCAUAGGUGGGCGGAGAGGGUGAUCGGCCAAACUGGGACUGAGACACGGCCCAGAAUCCUACGGGAGGGAGGAGUAGGGAAUAUUCGGCAAUGGGGGAAAGGCUGACCGAGGCACGCCGCGUGAGUGAAGAAGGUUUUCGGAUCGUAAAACUCUGUUGUUAGAGAAGCGGUAUCUAACCAGAAAGCCACGGCUAACUACGUGCCAGCAGCCGCGGUAAUUC
rnacentral:rRNA from 1 species